rfam:Ricinus communis cultivar Hale ctg_1100012293003, whole genome shotgun sequence.
GGGUGCGAUCAUACCAGCACUAAUGCACCGGAUCCCAUCAGUACUCCAAAGUUAAACGUGCUUUUGCCAGAGUAGUACUAAGAUGGGUGACCUCUUGGGAAGUCCUCAUGUUGCACCCC